UACGUAGGGGGCUAGCGUUGUCCGGAUUUAUUGGGCGUAAAGAGCGUGUAGGCGGCCAGGUAGGUCUGCUGUGAAAACUCGAGGCUCAACCUCGAGACGUCGGCGGAAACCAUCUGGCUAGAGUCCGGAAGAGGAGAGUGGAAUUCCCGGUGUAGCGGUGAAAUGCGCAGAUAUCGGGAGGAACACCAAUGGCGAAGGCAGCUCGCUGGGACGGUAUUGACGCUGAGACGCGAAAGCGUGGGGAGCAAACAGG
rnacentral:rRNA from 1 species